rnacentral:antisense_RNA from 1 species
AUACUUCAUUGGUAGUCAUCAUUAGGCUCAAUGAUUAUAACAGUAAAUGACUAAAGCAGUUUUGAACUCACCAUCUGAUUCAGAUCCAUGAGUGGUAUGGGACCCCCCACUGGGGUGGAAUGUGUCUUGGUCUCCUGUAAUGAGCAAUCAGGAAGAAGGGACUGCUUUUUAGUCAUCAGCACCAUGGAGGUCCAGAGGACAAAAGGCAACAAUAUUAUUGUGAGGAAUAUAAAGUGAUAUAAUCAGACAUUUAUGCCAAUUAUAAAUCACACUGCAAAAGAACUGAAAUCAUAGCAAACAGUCUAUUGGACCACAGCGCAAUCAAAUUUGAAAUCAAGACUAAGAAACUCACUCAAAACCAUACAAUUACACGGAAAUUGAAUAACCUGCUCCUGAAUGACUUUUGGGUAAAUAAUGAAAUUAAUGCAGAAAUCAAGAAGUUCUUUGAAACUAAUAAGAACAAAGAUACAACAUAUCAGAAUCUCUGGGACACAGCUAAGGCAGUAGUAAGAGGGAAAUUUAUAGCACUAAAUUUAAAUGCCCACAUAAAAAAAGUUAGAAAGAUCUCAAGUUAACAAAAAUAAAU